CAUCUGUCCUGCCUUCCUGUGUAAAGAAAAAGUGAAUGCUGUCUGCACAUACCCAGAGGGUCUAAACAUAAACACAUGAGAACAGAAAUACGGAUAUCUACUGAGGAAAGAUCCUAGCAAGUGAGGGAUAAAAGAAGGGGAAAUGCAUCAACCUAAGUAGGCCAGCAGUAGUGAUGAAACAGUUAACAACAAUCAAGCAAAUUCCACAAUACUCUGCACAAACAGGAUGUCUUGCUGAAAUCCCUGGAGUACACCUAUAAGGUCUAUGAGUCACACAAUUAGCUUGUGUUUAGUUUCAGGGCAAACGCCCUUACAGACUGUGCCAGAAUUUUUAAGUAAAUAAAAAUUGAGCAAUUUCUUGGCAUUCACUAACUCUGUAAUGAAUGUGCAGCAUAAGAACAUUGCUCAAUACAGUACAAUUAGGCUCUGUUUCCACCUUUUUAAAAUGCCGUUAUCAUUUUACUGUGUGAAGGAGGCAUAUGGAUCUUUUUUAGGGGGUGGGGGUUUGGAAAGCUAAUUCAAUUAUUUAACUGUGAGUUAUUUGCAAUUGGCAUAUCUUUAGUAGGUAGCAUGAUUGCUUCUUUGAUCUGCUUACAGUAUAGUGUAUGACUGUAUGCAGCUGAGUACUUUGUUUGGUGUUACGCUAUAGAGGUGUGCAAGCAAUUAUUGGUCUGUGUCAUUAAUCCCACAAUAGUUGUCAGCAACAUCACAUACAUUAUAGAAUGUGUCAGCAGAUCACAAACAGAAGCUUAAAAAAAACUUCACUUACAGACUGUAGAUGAGGGACAAAAGUUCUUUCUGAACUAGCAUGCACACUUAUUUGUAGGGGUACCAGAAAACUGGGAUUUCAGUGUUCAUUUUUUUUUUAUCUCAGUCGGAAACAGUGCUGUUGAUAAAUCGUUCCGGUGUUGCUAUUGUAUUAAAAACAUAAUAAUAUUAAGAUAAAAAAAUGUUGCAAUGUGUUUUGGUUAGGUGACCAUAGAAAGAAAACUGUUAUGAUCUCAAUAAAUACACCUGUUUAAUUUUUCAAUUAUUGUUGUCUUAUUAUAUGCUGC